GCUUGGAUGGCUCAGUUGGUUAGAGCGCAGGUCUCAUACUUUCGUAUGACUGUGAUGUACGCAGCAAUCCUGAGGUCAUGAGUUCGAUCCUCAUUCCGAGCA
rnacentral:tRNA from 1 species